rnacentral:lncRNA from 1 species
GGGGUCUUCUCCCCAUGUUUGGAUAUAUUUGUGGAAGUAUCAUCUGACAAUCUCAUUUUCUUCCUGUGGGUUCUUGACAUCUUAUGGUAAACAUCUCUUUCUGUGAACACCUGGAAAAGCUACAGAAGGGCCUGAGUGAUUCAUACAUCUUCACCUGAGCUUACCACUUAGGUUCAUUCAUGUCUGUGCCAAAGUCACGCACUGCAACAAGCCAAUCUGAUCCCAGGGUUGAACCUCAGCGCACUUGGCAUCUUUUCAACAGGACUGUCCGUGCUAUCUCCACCAGCAGGGCCCCGCGGAGCUCCCCCCGCUGCCCCCUACCACCCCUUCACUACCCACUCCGGAUACUUCUCCAGCCUGUACCCCCAUCACCAGUUUGGCCCGUUCCCGCAUCAUCACUCUGUAAGUGCCCCCUCAGUUCAGCCGCACCUGCCACUUCUCCUGGGGCUGGGCCCACUUGGCCCUUGGUGGCCAGUGAAUGUUCACAGUGCAGAUCUU